rnacentral:rRNA from 1 species
UACGUAGGGGGCAAGCGUUGUCCGGAAUCAUUGGGCGUAAAGAGCGUGUAGGCGGCUCGGUAAGUCCGCUCUGAAAGCCCGGGGCUCAACCCCGGGAGGCGGGCGGAUACUGUCGGGCUAGAGUCCGGAAGAGGCGAGUGGAAUUCCUGGUGUAGCGGUGAAAUGCGCAGAUAUCAGGAGGAACACCAAUGGCGAAGGCGGCUACCUGGACAGAAACUGACACUGAGGCACGAAAGCUAGGGGAGCAAACAGG